AAAUAUGGGCCUUGCGUCUCCCGAAGCAACAAGAGAUUACGUGACAUUGGUAGAGAAAACGCAGUCAUGAGGGCCGUUAUUAAAGAAACAGACUCGAUAACCACUAUAAAAUAUAUAAAAUAAGAACAAGCGUAGGCUAGAAAAACAUGGAAUUAAGGUCAUCGUUCGUGCUUGCUUAAUGCUGGCCCUGUUUUUGGGUUGCUGUUUUUGGCUGUUGUGUUUGAUCUCUUCUGAAGGUCGAGGUUUGAGAGGUGAACAAACAUGGUGGCCCCAGUACCCCAAUCCCAUCCCUAACCUCAUCCUCAACCCCAACUCCUCCCAGAAGCAGAGGACAACCUAUCCCAGCAGCAGGGAUAGCUGUGGCAGCUGCUGCUGGAGUUACAUCGCAGUUUUGCAAUGAGUGAGGUGGAGGCAAUACACCACCCAACAAGG
ensembl:lncRNA